AUGCGACCCCAAGUCAG
rnacentral:rRNA from 1 species